UUCAUGCACACGAGACGAUUCACGAUUGUCCCAACAUGGUCCCAAGCUCAAGUAAAAACUAGAAAAGAAUUCGAAAAGUGAAAUCAAUAUCAUAUCAGCAUAAGUUAACAUUCCAUUUGUCAUCAUUUGCAACGUAAUGAAGACCAUUUUGUUGAAGCUGGACAAAAAUUCUAAGUUCUGUCAUCAAUCCUGCAGCUGUGCAUGUUUUGUAAAUGGUGAAUCUCAAAUGAAUCCAAGAACUUUGAGUCGUCAUUUUACUUAAUUGACUUUCUUUUCAAAUUUUAAAAAUGGUUUGAACACGCUCCAGCUUGAACACGUCAUCUAAAUAACAUUUUCUACAUCUACAAUUCAUUGUGUUUGUCUUGAGGUCUUUGUUUGAUUUUUCUAGGUGAUAAAUGAAGGGUACUUACCUGAGCAGCUGAGCUCUGCCUUUCUGUGGUUCCUUUCAAUUGAUUCAUUUGAGUUUAAUCCCUCGCCGCUGUUCCAGACCUUAUCCACUAGUGGAAUAUGCCGAGAGAUGUUGAACUUAUUCCAGGUUAUCCCUUCGCCAUUGUGCUACAAUUUGAAGAAGUUGACUGUUUCACAAGAGCUUUUGCUUUCAAUUAAUAUCUAUAAAUUGUGUAAAUGUGAUAACUUACAAGUGCAUAUCUGGGCUCCUUUCUUUUAUGUGCCCCGUUUCCCUAACUAAAUAAUAUCCAAUGCCCGCCGGUAGUCACUCACCCGCUGUGAAACCAGAAGGAUGAGGAGGGCUUUGUUUUGAAUUUCAUCACUUAUUUACGCGUCGAAAUUUCUUAACGUUCAUUGAACAAAUAUGCGCAUUUUAAUUUA